rnacentral:rRNA from 1 species
UACGAAGGGGGCUAGCGUUGCUCGGAAUUACUGGGCGUAAAGCGCACGUAGGCGGCUUUCUAAGUCGGGGGUGAAAUCCUGGAGCUCAACUCCAGAACUGCCUUCGAUACUGGAAAGCUCGAGUCCGGGAGAGGUGAGUGGAACUGCGAGUGUAGAGGUGAAAUUCGUAGAUAUUCGCAAGAACACCAGUGGCGAAGGCGGCUCACUGGCCCGGUACUGACGCUGAGGUGCGAAAGCGUGG